ensembl:snRNA U6 U6 spliceosomal RNA
AUUCUCACUUGCAGCACAUACAUCCCUAAAAUUGGAACACUACAGUGAUGAUUAGCAUGGCUUGUACAGGAUGACACGCUAAUUCAUGAAGUGUUCCACAUUAAA